GAGCAACGCCGCGUGAGGGAUGAAGGCCUCUGGGCUGUAAACCUCUUUUAUCAAGGAAGAAGAUCUGACGGUACUUGAUGAAUAAGCCACGGCUAAUUCCGUGCCAGCAGCCGCGGUAAUACGGGAGUGGCAAGCGUUAUCCGGAAUUAUUGGGCGUAAAGCGUCCGCAGGCGGUCUUAUAAGUCUGUCGUUAAAGCGUGGAGCUUAACUCCAUUUAAGCGAUGGAAACUGUAAGACUAGAGUGUGGUAGGGGCAGAGGGAAUUCCCGGUGUAGCGGUGAAAUGCGUAGAUAUCGGGAAGAACACCAGUGGCGAAGGCGCUCUGCUGGGCCAUAACUGACGCUCAUGGACGAAAGCCAGGGGAGCGAAAGGGAUUAGAUACCCCUGUAGUCCUGGCCGUAAACGAUGAACACUAGGUGUCGGGGGAAUCGACCCCCUCGGUGUCGUAGCCAACGCGUUAAGUGUUCCGCCUGGGGAGUACGCACGCAAGUGUGAAACUCAAAGGAAUUGACGGGGGCCGCACAAGCGGUGGAGUAUGUGGUUUAAUUCGAUGCAACGCGAAGAACCUUACCAGGGUUUGACAUCCUGCGAAUCUCUUGGAAACGAGAGAGUGCCUUCGGGAACGCAGUGACAGGUGGUGCAUGGCUGUCGUCAGCUCGUGUCGUGAGAUGUUGGGUUAAGUCCCGCAACGAGCGCAACCCACGUCGUUAGUUGCCAGCAUUUAGUUGGGCACUCUAGCGAGACCGCCGGUGAUAAACCGGAGGAAGGUGUGGAUGACGUCAAGUCAUCAUGCCCCUUACAUCCUGGGCUACACACGUACUACAAUGCUACGGACAAAGGGCAGCAAACUCGCGAGAGCUAGCAAAUCCCAUAAACCGUGGCUCAGUUCAGAUCGUAGGCUGCAACUCGCCUACGUGAAGGAGGAAUCGCUAGUAAUCGCAGGUCAGCAUACUGCGGUGAAUACGUUCCCGGGCCUUGUACACACCGCCCGUCACACCAUGGAAGUUGGCCACGCCCGAAGCCGUUACUCCAACCCUUGUGGAGGAGGAUGUCGAAGGUGGGGCUGAUGACUGGGGUGAAGUCGUAACAAGGUAGCCGUACCGGAAGGUGC
rnacentral:rRNA from 1 species